rfam:Triticum aestivum genome assembly, contig: Triticum_aestivum_CS42_TGACv1_scaffold_131888_2BL
AUGUUACUCCCUCCGUCCGAAAAUACUUGUUGUCAUCAAAAUGGAUAAAAAGGGAUGUAUCUAGAAUUAAUAUACAUCUAGAUACACCCCCUUUAAUUUAUUUUGAUGACAAGUAUUUCCGGACGGAGGGAGUACCUU